UACAGAGGGUGCUAGCGUUAAUCGGAUUUACUGGGCGUAAAGCGUGCGUAGGUGGUUGGAUAAGUCGGUUGUGAAAGCCCAGGGCUCAACCUUGGAAUUGCAGCCGAUACUGCUCGACUAGAAUUCGGUAGAGGGAGGCGGAACUCCAGGUGUAGCGGUGAAAUGCGUAGAUAUCUGGAAGAACACCGAUGGCGAAGGCAACCUCCUGGGCCUGAAUUGACACUGAGGCACGAAAGCGUGGGUAGCAAACAGG
rnacentral:rRNA from 1 species